rnacentral:misc_RNA from 1 species
UCAGUAAAGCCAUGGUUAUGGAAGAGAAUUUGUAUGAGGCCUUGGGUUGUUUUGUCUGACUUUGCUUCUUCAUCUUUCAAGAGCCAUAUCUGUUAGAUUUUUGUUUUGUGGAGCAUAAACAUCUGUUUGAAGAUUGAGAUUAUGGCAACUGUCUCAUUUUCUUUUGUGGAUUGAGAAUUUGAAAUGGAUUUUACAGAGUCCACUAAGGUUGUAUACAACAGAAUUCAGAAGCUAGACCCUGCAAAUGUGUCUAAGAUCAUUGGGUAUCUUCUGUUACAAGACCAUGGUGAACGAGAAAUGAUCCGGCUGGCUUUUAGCCCAGAUAAUUUGAUUUAUUCCUUGAUUACCAAAGCCAAGUCUGACCUUGGGCUAAACAAACCAGGAGUUUCUACUCCAAUCUCACCAUCUCAGGUGAAUUCAGUACCUGCUUUAGACAUCCCUUUACAAUUCACUCCCUUUUCACCAGCUUCUCCUCGCCCAGCUUCGUCUCCAGUAGCUUCACAUAGGGCUGUAAGCUCGUAUUGGGAUGCUCAAGUAAGUGUCGACCAGCAACAGGUGCAUAACUUGGACUUUGGCGCGCCGGGGUAUUCAGAGUCGGUUGCUAAAGAUUAUAGGCUUCCGAGCCAAAUGCAGUACCUGACUUUGGAUGAUCAGUUAGAGUUUGCUAAAUCUGUGAAUUCUGAUUUUUCUAGCAAUUACUUUUACCCAGAACCUGCAUUGGGUCCUAGGACUAAUAGAAGGUCUCCAAGUUUGCCUGAGUUACCUGUUAAAGUUUGUCAUUAUUUCAACAAGGGAUUCUGUAAACAUGGAAACAAUUGUAGGUAUUUCCAUGGCCAUCCAAUGUCAGAAAGCUUUUCUCAGAUUUUCAGCCCGAAAUCAAAUGAGAUUUCCAGCGAAGAACAUUUUGUCUUGCCAGGUUCCCUUGAAAAGCUUGAGAUGGAGAUUACUGAACUUCUGAGAUCAAGACGAGGAAUGCCUGUUUCGAUUGCCUCUUUGCCAAUUAUGUAUUAUGAGAAAUAUGGGAGGACCCUUCAGGCAGAAGGGUAUCUUACAGAAAGCCAGAGACAUGGUAAGACUGGUUAUAGUCUGACAAAGCUUUUAGCUCGAUUGAAGAACAGCAUUCGUGUCAUUGACAGGCCUCACGGGCAGCAUUCAGUGAUUCUGGCAGAAGAUGUUCCCAAAUGCUUUGAGUAUGCUGGUGAAAGAAAUGAUCCUGGUGGAAUUGUUGCUGGUUCUAGGCAGAUUUAUCUUACUUUUCCAGCGGAAAGUACCUUUACAGAGCAAGAUGUUUCCAACUACUUCAGCAAAUUUGGGCCUGUUCAAGAUGUUAGGAUUCCAUGCCAACAGAAGAGGAUGUUUGGAUUCGUCACUUUCAUUUUCGUAGAGACUGUCAAACAAAUAUUGGCAAAGGGGAAUCCUCAUUUUGUGUGCGGGGCUCGUGUUCUGGUGAAGCCCUAUAAGGAAAAGUCAAGGCUUGUUGAUAGAAAGUAUUCCGAGAAAAUACAGCCCUCAAUAUAUUAUGGCCCGCACUUCAUAGAUGGAGAUUCUGAGCUUCAUUCAAUGACAAAAGUUUAUGGUAAUUCAAGAAUUAUCAGGAAGCAGCUAAUGGAUGAACAAGAGCAUGCACUCGAACUUGAGACAAGGCGUCUCUCAGAGUUGAAUUUAGGUUCCAAAUCCCUCAAUCAUAACUCUUAUUUUGGCUCCUUAAUGGAUGAGUUGAAGUUGUCAGAAGAACAAGCAGAGUUCCCAUCUGCAGAGCGUUUCAAUUAUUUUCUCGAAGUUUUGAAUAACGGUUCCUCCAGCGAGGACAAACUCAAGCAUACAAGCACAAAUUACGGUGAUCAAGAUAGGUAUUAAAAUGCAUAUUCAUUCAUUUUUGUGCUACUAUAAGAGCUUAACAUUUGUGCAUGAAAAUAUCGGGUACAUUUCUGAUUCAGAUUUCUUUUUGAACACGUGAGCAGCCAAGGACUUAACCUUCCAGAAAGCCCCUUUGCAUCAAUAGGGAGUGGCAUUUCAAUGGUUAUAUAGAGAAAAUACAGUACAGACAUAAUUAUUAUAAAGGUAGAGAAGACCGUAUUCGAAGACCAUAUUUCAAGGGUAUGAUGAAACAGGAGUUUCUUCUUCUUUUUAAAUUUACCUCAACUUGAUCGACAGCUUCAUAGUCGUACAUACCCAACCGAAAAAAAAACUAGAUGAACUAAUUCUUCAUGUUACUUGUUGGUGGAGGAGAAUGCAAAGAAAACAGAAUACAGCAAAAGCUAAUAUGUUACAGGUUUCUAAGCUUCCUUUUUAUUUUUUUUGUUUUUUCCAUUUAAUGUAAUCACAGAAAAGCAAGCAAGCAAGCCAGAGAGCUUGUUGAUCUUUAGAAAGAACAUGUAAUAUAGAGUCGCCUUUUUAGUUAAAGAAGAAGGAAGUAGAAAAAUAUUGUGCAGAGUUCAGAGAAAAAAAAUGAUAAAAGUUGUAGAGCUUUCUGUCAACAUUGAGGAUUUAUUAUUAUUAUUAUAUAUUUUUUUUUAUCUCGAUAUCAGAUUUCAUCAGAUAACAGAGAAUAAAAGACAAGCAAGAUUCCCAGACAAAAAUCAGCAACCAUGACACUCAUUUAACCGUCCAAACAAGAAGUGCAGAAAGCUCAUGUUCCUCCCCAUUAAUAACCAGGAAUCACGGUUUCCUUUAUCACUGCACAAAAAAAAAGUAACCUGAAUUCACUGUGAGGAAUGUGAUCCACAAAAGAUUAAGCUCGUCUCCAAUCCCCCGAUAUCUAAUAAACAAACUAGCCAUAUUGCACUGAACUAAGUUACCAAGGUACAAUUGAAUCAAAUAAAUUGAAAUAUCUGCAAAACCAUAGUGAACUUAGUUGGAAGAGGGGGAAAAUUUUAGCAACAGGCAUACCUUAUUGAAAAGUCAUCUACAAUAUUUUCCUGACCUGACACAAGCAGAAAAAGGUGUAAGUACAAAGAUAAAGACUAAGAGAUAAUAGAUAGACACCUAUAUUUCUAGUUUUGAACAAGUAAAAAGUUACAAAGUCUAUGGUGGUGCAACAUUCAUAGCAACUAAAACAACAUUAAAUUCCUUAAAUUCCAAGGCAAUUUUAGACCAAUUAUUCGUGAAACAAAGACCUUACCAUGUAAAUCCAAAUGUCAUACAU